CGGCGGGGGCUGCGAGGACCCGCCCCGCCCUCUCCAGCUUCCGCCUCCCGGGCCACGUCCCCGGCGCCCCACCGGAAGCUCCCGGCGGGCCGCGGGGAGCCGGCGGUGGUGGCGGCGGCGGCGCCGAGAUGCCAAGACUGAGUUUCAGAGAAGUUAAAGACCAUGUCCCAGGACCCACAGCUAGCACAUGGAAGACCUGGGAUCCCAGCUCAGAUCUGUCAGACCUCAAGGCCCGGGAUUUGAAACCACUGUGAAAAGUUUGCAAAAUCCAGCAGGAUGGGAAGAGGUAGAGGGAUCAUCUCCUGCAUUUGGUAGAUGAGAAAACAGGCUGGAUGCUCUGACUUCCAACCCCAGCUCUAUGGGGUUAUCCAGACCCACUGUGAGGAAGUGACUUUUACCUGGGGGAGACUUUGGCCAGGGUAGAGCUAAAGUGCCUGGAACUUGCAUUUUUGGACCUGCCUCCAGAACCCUGGGGAUUUCCACCAGGGCAGCAAGCACCCCCACCGAGAAUUCUGGGCUCCCUCGAGGUCCCGGGGAACACAGAGCAGCCCCCAGCUGUGACUCUCUGCCGAUGUCCCCAGGGAGGAGGAGGAGGAAGCCAGCAGCCACCCAAGAAUGACUGGACACUCCUAAAGCGUUUUGUCACCAUCCAGGGGGUUUUUUGCACCACGAAGGGUAAUUCCUGCCCCAUCCCUGCUGUGACUCAGCUGUGACGUUGAACCACACAAGCCGGCGAAAAGAUAAAGUCGUCAGACUCCUGCUCACCAGACAGAACUCACCUCUUCUCUCAGCACAGAUUCCACAGGGCUGGUCUCCUCCCCACAGUUGCUUAGACUGGGAGCCCCUGGCCAACCUGGGACCCCAGGAUGGCGUCUGGCCCAGCCAGCAGCCCCCACCCGGCCCCUGAUGAGAACGAGUUUCCCUUUGGGUGCCCCCCCACCGUCUGCCAGGACCCAACAGAGCCCAGGGCUCUCUGCUGUGCAGCCUGUCUCUCUGAGACCGUGAGGACAAGCGAGGACCAGAUCUGUCCAAAAUGCAGAGGGGACGACCCCCAGUCUGUAAGCCCGGCAAGCCUUGUGUCUCAGGAGAAGGAUCACCCUGAGGAGGCUGAGGCUGAAGUUGGGUGCCCCUUUGCUGGUGUUGGCUGCUCCUACAAGGGGAGCCGAAAGCUCCUGCAGGAGCAUGAGGUCACCUCCCAGACCACCCACCUAAACCUGCUUUUGGGGUUCCUGAAUCAGCGGAAGGCCCAGCAGGCCUCAGGCCUGGGGUCUAGGCCCAUGGCCCUGGAGCAGAAUCUGUCAGACCUGCAGCUGCAGGCAGCCGUGGAGGUGGCAGGGGACCUGGAGGUGGACUGCUACCGGGCGCCACGCUCCGAGAGCCAGGACGAGCUGGCCCUGCAGCACUUCAUGAAGGAGAAGCUCCUGGCUGAGCUGGAGGGGAAGCUGCGCGUGUUUGAGAACAUCGUCGCUGUCCUCAACAAGGAGGUGGAAGCCUCCCACCUGGCUUUAGCAGCCUCCAUCCACCAGAGCCAGCUUGACCGGGAGCAUAUCCUGAGCUUGGAACAACGGGUGGUGGAGCUGCAGCAGACCCUGACUCAGAAAGACCAGGCCCUGGGCAAGCUGGAGCAGAGCCUCCGCCUCAUGGAGGAGGCCUCCUUCGAUGGCACCUUUCUCUGGAAGAUCACCAAUGUCACCAGGCGCUGCCACGAGUCAGCCUGUGGCAGGACCCUCAGCCUCUUCUCCCCAGCUUUCUACACUGCCAAGUACGGCUACAAACUCUGCCUGCGUCUCUACCUGAACGGAGACGGGACGGGAAAGAGGACCCACCUGUCGCUCUUCAUCGUGAUCAUGAGAGGGGAGUACGAUGCUCUGCUGCCCUGGCCUUUUCGGAACAAGGUCACCUUCAUGCUGCUCGACCAGAACAACCGCGAGCAUGCCAUCGACGCCUUCCGGCCUGACCUGAGCUCAGCAUCCUUCCAGCGGCCCCAGGGUGAGACCAACGUGGCCAGUGGCUGCCCGCUCUUCUUCCCCCUCAACAGGCUACAGUCGCCCAAGCACGCCUACGUGAAGGAUGACACCAUGUUCCUCAAGUGCAUCGUGGAGACAAGCGCUUAGGGCGGGGAGGGCCGCGCCGGCCGCACCUGACUCCCGAGGGAGCACCAGAGUACGCUGGGGUGGGGGGGGCUUAGUACGAUGACCGAGGUCCUGUCCGUGGUGCCCAGGAUCCUGGGGCACCGCGAUGGCCCGGGCCGGCAUGAUCUGAGCAGGACUGACUGACUGUGGCUGGCUGUCAGCUUCGGCGGCGGCGACGGGGCCCAGGGUUGGGCCCACAAAGGUCCGGAAGGAGGCGGUAGCAGGACUGUUGUCCUCUGCGCUGACCACAGGACACUGGAGUCACUCCAGCCCUGCAUGUUGAGGCAGCCUGUGACCAAGAUGGGGCGGGAAGAGGGACCGGGCCUGGGGCAUGGAGGGUGAGCAGGGGGAGGAGGAAAGAAGCUCUCUGAGCAAAGCAGCUCUCUGGACAGGAAGGCCUCUGUACUGGGGUGGGGAGGGCAGGGUGGCAUCAAGUUGGGACUUGGGUUUGAAGACCUUGAGGCUCCUUCCAGCCCAGAAAGCCUCCAGGUCUGGGCCUCCUGGUGCAGGAGAGUCCUAGGGCUGCAGGGGUGCUAGAAACAUUCAGGAGCCUUGUGGCCUCCAGUUUCCUCUGUCACCUUCAGUGCCACCAUGUGGCCGAGCUGGCCCGCGCAGCACCUGCCACCCCGGGUCUGGCAGCCCCAUUUCCCAGCAUGCAGGGGCCCACGCAGGCCCGUGUCCUGUGCCUCCGCUAGCAGGGCUCCCCUUCACCACCUCCAGGUGAAAACAGGUCCCUCAGCUCCCAGGAGCAGCGAGAAGAAAGGUGGAGGAGGGGGCCAUAAACCCUCCGCUCCCCCUCCCUCAGAGGCCCCACCUUCGGCACUUUCCAGAAUCUCAUGUCACCUAAUUAACCGAGGUGUUUCCUUCUUUCAGUUGACUGAUCGGGGCCUCUGAGCCACUGAGCAGAGGUUGUCCUUUUAAAUACGUAUAAAACCAAAGAAAGAGAUGGUUUUCAUUUCUGUUGUGGUUUUCAUGCAGUGCUUGAUGGUGGGAGUUGGUUUGAACUGUGCCAAAUUUGAAAAGCCCAUUGCCAAGUCCUGGGUGGUGCUGUGAGUCUCGCAGAGGAUGCCCCUUAGCCCGCAGGAGCAUCUCCUCCAGGCACCGGGCUCCUCCUCUCUCUGCUGGGGAGAGCCUCCCCAGCCUGCCUCCCAUGCUGGGUCCUGAGAACCGCAAAGGGGAUGCCACACAUAAGAGGCUGCUUAGAGCCCCAACAUUGCUGUCACCUGGCCUGGCCUGGCCGUGGCCCACACCUGUCUUCCCGCCAUGCAGGCCUCACACAACCAGUUCCUGCAGGGACCUUCCCCCGGCUUCCCAGAGACUGAGCCUUCAUGUGGCCGCCCGGGGCUCCAGCUCGGGACCUCACUCCUCUGCCCACCAGCCUUCCUACAGCUUACUCGCCCUCUGCUUGCAAGGCUGCAGCAGACUUCACUCCUCACACCUUCAGGGUUCUCAUCUGUAAAAUGGGCCAGCAGCCCUGCCCGUUCUCCCUAGCACAGCGCCUGUCAUGUACCAGAAAACCCAGAUCCAACCUGGGCCCAAACCUGGUAUCCCGUUGUGCCUGAGCCUCUUUAUUUGAACACAGGGGGGCAGCCCCCUCCCCGGCCCUGCCCAGCUCACGGGGUUUUUACGAGGCCCAAAUACAAGAAGGGGACAUACUAGUGCUUUGUGCUGAGGCACCUUGCCGUGUGUGACGGGCUGCAGACGUGUCAGGGCUUUUCCUCGCCCCUGGUGCCGACAGGCAAGCCGGCAAUGGAGACAGACCUGCUUCCCCUCGACAAGUGGGAAUAACAAGCAAAGGUCUGGCCCAGCAAGUUCUGGGAGCUUCUGCCUCAGCACUGGUGUCCUGGCAAAUCCAUCUUCAUCCCUGCCUGCUGAGUGCUGAGCUAAUGGGAUUGAGGACAAGCUGCUUCUGAAGACAACCAUUACUCUUGCCUUUGCUCGCUGGUUUCGGGCGGGAAGAGUACUUCUAACUGUGAGUCACAGCCACCGUUCCAACAAAGCCUUACUGAGACCCACCUGUCACCCACUGGCUAGACACUAGGGGGGAAAGACAAAGGCACAGAAACUAAGCGAAGGCAAGCAGCUCACCCAAGGCCACUCCAGACCCGUGGUGAGAUAGGGACUCACACUCCUGAUGUGAUUCGCACUCAGAUGGAGAAACUGAGGCACAGACAAGGGGAGUGGCCCACAUGAGACUGCAUUCCUCCUGAGGGGUAAGCCCCCAGCAAAGGUCUAGACUCUUCUCUGUCCUGCAUCCGGUGCCCAGCAGGGCUCGGGGAGAUCCAGGAGAGGAUUUUCUUUGUGGGUCUAGAAGAGACAACAGGCCCCGAAGCUGGUGGACAGGACACCAUGCCCACCGCCUGGGCCAUGGGAGAGUGAACCGUCCUCUGCCUUCAACCGCUGAACCCCAGCAGAGCAAACAGGGCAUGCUCUCCCCUACUUCCCCCUGCUUCCCUGCUGACCUCGAGAGCAGAGACUGGCUAAGCCUCGGUUUCCACUUCCACCCCGUGGGUGAACAUUCUAACACCCCAGUGUUGUGGCAAGGGUGCCUGGGUCACAGAAACCACUGGCUUUGGGCACUGGGGGGUCCCUGGUCGAAUAAUAAUAGAAGCAAGGAUCCCCAACAGCCAUGAAGUGCCUGGCUGCAUGUAGCCCUUCAGGACCUCGCGGAAACCCCACGAGGAAGCAUGGUGAUGAUCUUCCCGGGGUGAUGGACAAGGAAACCCAAGCUCUGAGGAGUAAAAACUACACCCCCAAGGUCACACAAGGGCCAAGAGCCAGAACUUGAACCCAGAUCAGUCUAUGCGAGCUCCAAACCCUUCAGUCCAGUGACUUGAUCUGCAUAAUGUGGAGAUGGCACCGCAAGGUGAGACCCAGUUUUAGUUCUGCACAGACUGCAAAUUGAUUUUUUAAAACAGCCCUGACAAAAUGAUGACAGCUAUCACUUACUGAGCACCUGCUUGCUUUACUUGCAAGCACCACGCUUAAUACUCAUAACUGGCCUGGGAGGAAGUAUCCUUUUCUUCACUUUACAGAUGGAGAUAUAAGUUCAGAGGGGCCAGGCAACUUCCUGAAGGUCACACAGCUAAUAGGCAGAUCUCUGCCCCCACAGCCAGAGGCUUUGCCCGUUGUCGCGUCCUCUCCAGUGCUUUGGGGAAGUGGGAGAGGGUCAGACAAAUGAGAAGUGAUGGGUCUUCUGGACCGGCUGUCAGCCCUUCUUCUCCAGGGGCACCCCACCCUGCAGCACCACAAGGGUGGAAUUGUCAGGCCAUGGGAAGGAGAAAGAUGGAGUCAGGGGCCAGGGGGGCCGCUGGUGUGCCAGUGACCCUUUGCCAGGAGCUGGAUCUCACUUGCCACCUCCAUAGCAGGGACAUGUUUGUGUUAAGCAACACAAAUUCAUGUGGUCCAGAGUCUGGGAGGCCAUUCCAGAGGUGGAGCUGGGCCCGGACUUUCUUCCUUCUCGGGUCCUUUCCUCAAUCCCCACCCAUCUCAUGGCAUUUUCCUCCUCAGAAAACCUGCCGUGUAUGGUGCUGAUGUUGUUGUGGCUCUUAGGGCUGAUGGCCGAGCAAGCAGGAGGUCAAGGUCACUCAGCAGGUUGGUGGCUCAGGGUGGCGGCCAGUGGUUCCUCUCUUGUGGAGGAGGUCAGCUGGGCCCUCGUCCCUCCCCGCCUGCCCUGCGGACCCUGUCCCCACGCCCUGGGGCAGUGGGCUCCCUUCUAGCCACGAACUCUCCGUUCUCUUUGUACAAGUGAAAAGGAGCUCAGAGGAGAAAAGUGACUCACGCGGGGGCACCCAGCUGCCAAGAGGCAGAGCCUGCCUGGGACCUGGGUCUUCUGCCACAACGCCCAGCCCUUCCUCCUGCACCCACUAACUUGUAGGUAUCGAUCCUGAAGAUUCUCUUUAUGGAAACAACUGAUCUCUGUCCCCACUCCCACCCCCAAGCACAGCUCCAACUGUCAAGAAAUCCCAGGGCCAGCAGUGGGGCGGCAUCUGCCUGGGACUCAAGCAUCUGGGACAGUGGUUGAGAAAGCUUUCUGCAGCUGCUGUCCUCCCACGGAUGUCUGGUGGGGGCCGGGUGGGUGUAAUGAAGUCUCUCGGAACCCCCAAGACCAGCGGAAUGUCCAGUGUCCAGCCUCCCCAGGACUCCACACUCUUGCUGCGGGAUCUUGAGCCAGGCAUCUGCCAUCUCUGAGCCCAUUUUCCCAUCUGCACAGUGGACAGGUAGGUGGUGAUGGAUACAGGCCUCCAGCUCUGAUCAGGUUGGAUUCUGGGCACAAAGAGUCUGACUAAGAGAGGCCCCCUUCCCAUGGGAAUCUUCGGUGAUAUCUUUUCGAGGCCCUGGCCCCUGCUUCUUGAGGACCUAAGGAUCUGGCCCUGUCUGCCCUCACAGGGCCAUGGUCAGGGCAUCCCCACAGCACAUGAGCUGGAUUCCCUCAGUGAGGGGUCAAGGAGUGCAGACCACUUAAGACUCACACCCCAAGCCUCACACUCGCAUUUGGUCAGGAGUACAUGUGUUGGAGUCCAACAGUCCUGUUGAAGUCCUGGCUCUGUCAUCUCGUAGCUGGGUAUCCUUGGGCAAGUUAUUUAACAGCUCUGUGCCUCAGUUUCCCUACGUGUGAAAUGGUGAUAAUAAAUCCCUACCUCGUGGGGGUGUUGUGGGAUGAUGGAAGCCCUACCCCCAGCAUGGAAGCUGCUGAGCUAGCGGGUCAGAUUAAUACCAGGAGCAUGCCUGUUUUCAGAGCCUUACCACCGAUGCUGGCCGCCACUCCUUCCGGCCCAGGGGUCUCCCUGCAGCUCCGAAGGACAGCCCUGCCCGGCCCAGGGUUCGAGAUGGAACCGGAAUGCUGGGAGGGAGGGGAGAAGCUGACACAGACCACAGCCACCCUGGGGUUCCUCUUCCAUCCCUGCCUCUCACGCUGGCUCCCACAAGCUGGCUGGCCCUGCCUCCUGGUGGAGGGGAGAGUUUGGCUCAGGAACAGGCUAUCUCUUGGCCCCUGUAACGACAGGGAAGGGUGCCCCAGAAGGCGAGCACCUCUGGUCUGAGCCCCAGCCAGCAGCAGGAGGGGUCAGAACAGGAGCCCCAGGCUCAGUCUCCUCCACCCCCUCGGCCUCAAAGAGCACUUGACUGGUCCCCUCCCCGCAACCAAAACACAGCCCCCACAGGAGGGGCUGAGCUAGGUGAGGGCCAAGCCUUGGGGAGGUCACAUUCCAGGAAAGGGCUGCAGGCCCCUUGUCAACAAGGAGAAAGCCAGCUUCCUGCUGCUCCUGAGACUUGGUUCUAGAAGGGGGGAGAAAGGAUAGACAGGAAGACAGGAAGAGCUUGUGAGGACGCUCAGCAGGCCCCCUGAGGUCCUCUGAGGUAUCUUUCCAGUGCACUGCAAGCUAGGGAGACAGGGGGUUCAGCUGCCUUUGCCCUGGAUAAAUACUUAAUGCCUGCGCCCAGGUGUCAUUGAGACCUUCCUUCACACAACCCUCUGUUCCCGAGCACGUUCAAACCUGAGACAUCCUUUGAUCUUCGCAACAGCCCUGAAAAUAUGCCAUUACUGUUUGCAUUUUAUUUAUUUUUAUUUUUUUAAGUAGGCGCCACACCCAGCGUGGAGCCUAACUCGGGACUUGAACUCACGACCCUGAGAUCAAGACCAGAGCUGAGAUCAAGAGUCAGAUUCUUAACCAACUGAGCCACCCAGGUGCCCCACUAUUUGCAUGUUAUAGGCGAGGAGACUGGGGCUCAUAGGGGAUGGGCAGUGUGACAUGGAUGGGAAGUUCCCACUGGAUCCCCUCCCUGGCUCAGCUACCAACUCACUGGGAACCUUUAGCAAGCCUCUUCCAGCUCUGGGCCUCAGUUUACCCAUGUGUAAAAGGAGGCUGCUGAACCAAUGGCCUCUGAGGACCCUCCCAGCAGUGAGGUCUCCCACCACGGGGCAGCAACAACCUCCAGCCUGCCCCUCUUACAUUUAAAUAAGCACUUACAUGCCCACUAGUUCGUUGCAUUUUGUCAAGCAUGGAUUAUUAUCCACCCCAUUUCAUGCACAAGGAAAGUACAGUCAAGCAGGGAUGUGAAACGACUUGCCCAAGAUCCCACCACGUGUUGGUGGCAGGGCUGCCCUGUGAAGCUAGGAGAUCUCACCAGACUUUUCACCUUGAUUCCCUGGAGCUGCGCUGUCCGGUCCGUUAGUCACCACAUCCACAUCCUGAUCGCCAAACCUCUGCAGAUGCCACCUUUCAUGGCAGAGGGACUUCGCUGAUGUGGUGAAGGAUCUUGGGACAGGGAGGUUCUCCUGGAUCGUCUGGCUGGGCUGAGUAUCAUCGCAAGGGCUCUCAUAACUGGGGAGUCAAGAGGGUCCGAGUCGGGGAAAGCAAAGUGACAGCCAAAGUAGGGGGAGAGAUGUACCCAUGGAAGCAGGGGUUGGAAUGAUGCACUUUGAAGAUGGGGGAUGGGACGGAUGGAUGGAAUGCAGGUGGAAAAGCCAAGGAAGGAAUUCUCCCCUGGAGUCUCCAGGACGAACACAGCCCUGCCGACACCUUGAUUUUAGCCCCGUAAGGCUCAUUUCAAAACUUCAAGCGUCCAGAAUGGUAAGAUGGUAAAUGUGUGCUGUUCUGAGCCACUGACACUGUGAAAAUGUGUUACACCUGCAGUCAGAGCUAAUACAGGGCUUGAAAUGUGGCCGCUCCAAAUUGAGAUGAGCCUCAAGUCUAAAACACACAGCACUUCCCAGACUUAGUAGAAAAAGGAGAAUUUAUUUCAUUACUAUUUUUUAUAUUGAGAACAUGUUGAAAUGAUCAAUAUGUCAUCCUAUUAGAUUAAAUCUAUUAUUACAA